UACGAAGGGGGCGAGCGUUGUUCGGAAUUACUGGGCGUAAAGGGCGCGCAGGCGGCCCUUGAAGUCAGGCGUGAAAGCCCCGGGCUCAACCUGGGAGGUGCGCUUGAUACUCGAGGGCUUGAGUGCGGGAGAGGAGAGUGGAAUUCCUGGUGUAGCGGUGAAAUGCGUAGAUAUCAGGAGGAACACCGGUGGUGUAGACGGCUCUCUGGACCAUAACUGACGCUGAGACACGAAAGCGUGGGUAGCAAACAGG
rnacentral:rRNA from 1 species